AGAUUGAUAAAAAAAAAAAAAUUAAAUAAAAUUCUAUAAAAUUCUAAUUUCACAAGUGAUAAGGUUUAUCUGGGAGUUUUCAGUUUUCAAUUAUCAGAGAGCAAAUGACUCUUGAUCCCUUUGUUAUCUGAGGGAGGUUGUUCCCUGGAAUCAUUUCAUAUUCCAGGGGAAGGUUCUUCUUUGUAGGUGAUAACCAUGGAUUAAAUGGUUGACAUUGAGACUAGAGAAAAUGAUUACCACAAGAAACUAUGGGCCUAUAAAAAUGAAAUACGAGGGCAAGGAUUGAAGGAUAAAGCCCUUUAAUUAAUCCAUAGCCCAAUUCAAAAUCCAAAACAGGCUUUUUUAAUAAUGAAAGGUAGGUUUUUGUUUAGUGAUUUUUUUUUUUUUAACGUUUUGUUUACUGAACUUUAUUUUAUUCUCAAAUAUAAAUUUUAGUCUCUACGGGUCAGUUUGAUAGGAUG
rnacentral:misc_RNA from 1 species